GGGACCUGUACUCGUUGCGGUGCAACGAUGGUGAAAGG
rfam:Clostridium sp. FS41 CLFS41_contig000015, whole genome shotgun sequence.